CUACUGGGCCCAGCCCUAGUCCCUCUUAUUCCACUUCUUACUGCUCCUGGAAAUGGCCUUUGCCUCAAGUGUCUUGUGCUUGACUUCCAGGCACCCGUCACACUUCCAGGGUGCUGAGCAAGGGCUCAGCCAGCUCUAGGGUCCCCAGAUCUGAGGAGAACGCCUGCAGUCUUGUCUCAUGCAGCAUGACACUGGUUGCUGGUGUGUCAUAUACAGCCUGUAGAAUUCUGAGGAAUGUUCCUUCUUUACCUAAUUUGAAGAGCUUUUAUCAUGAAGAGGGGCUUUCUCCGCACCUACUGAGACAACCAGGAGUGAGAACCCGAGUCCUUCAGCCAUCACUGCUGCUUCCCGAGGCCAGCCCGGCACCAGCCAGCACUCCAGUGCCGGCUGCAGGCGUCGUCACCACUGCUGCUCCAGGAGCUUUCUGGAGAUCCCUCCUGCGCCCAAUUUCAAAAUUUCUGCGCCAAAAUAAA